rnacentral:lncRNA from 1 species
AUGGCUGAGCUAUGCCGCCCGAUGAGGCCUGUGCAGUGGCAACUGGAGGGCAGAGCUUUCUUCUGGGACGUUCAGAGAUGCUUCCGACGUGAUGGGACACCCCAGCCGUCCCACGCCUGCGCUCGUGCCGCAUUCUUCACAGGCAGGCGGCUCCAAGAUAACCAAGCAGGCUGGCUUUCUGACUCCUUGAGGCACUGGCCCAGAAGACCUGCUGCCCAGUCACGGCGACCAGCCAAAGGGCUCUCUCUUCUGUGGAGCGAGCCAGCACCCGCCCCUAUCAGGAAUUCGUGGAAUAAGCAGCGCCUCAGGCCUUGGCCACCAUCCCAGGAAAGAAGAGCAAGGGGCUUUCCACCUGCCCCUAGCCUAACCCGGGACGCGAGCCCUCUCGAGUUCCAGCCGCUCGUGCCCCGCCUUGUAAACCGGCUGCCUCCCUUCCGCGCCCAGGUCGCUCGCCCCGCCCCUCACGCUCGACGGGCUCGCCCCCGCGCCGGCUGCGCGAGCUGGCGGGCGGUGCGCGAGCACGUGGAGCGGAAGGCCGGAGCAGCCGCCCGCAGCUGGGGCGAGCGCGCAGGCGCCCUCCUGAGACCCGUGGCAGGCGGGAAUCCCAACGCCGGGCGGGCAGUGGGAGUAAACAUGUCUUUUUGUCACCACUCAAAUCAAGAGAGAACACUCCGAUGUCUCAGAUGAUAUCCCUGGAGACCCCUGCCAAUCACCACUCCUUUUUUGCUUCCUGAAGCUAACCCCUUGGCUGAUUUCCAACAACGCAGGUUCGUUCUUUUUUUUUUUUUGACAGGCAGAGUGGACAGUGAGAGAGAGACAGAAAGAAAGGUCUUCCUUUUUACCAUUCGUUCAUCCUCCAAUGGCCGCUGUGGCCGGUGCACUGCAGCUGGCGCACCCCGCUGAUCCGAAGCUGGGAGCCAGGCGCUUCUCCUGGUCUCCCAUGGGGUGCAGGGCCCAAGCACUUGGGCCAUCCUCCACUGCACUCCCGGGCCACAGCAGAGAGCUGGCCUGGAAGAGGGGCAACCGGGACAGAAUCCGGCACCCCGACUGGGACUAGAACCUGGUGUGCCGGCGCCGCAAGGCGGAGGAUUAGCCUAGUGAGCCGCGGCGCCGGCCCGUUCUGUCCUUUUAUGAGUCUUUUGCAAAUGUGUUUUUGGGUGUCUAGCUUUUUUUUUUAAAGAUUUAUUUAUUUGAAAGAGAGGGAGAGGAGAGACAGAAAGAGAGAGAGAUCCUCCAACUGCUAGUUCACUCUUUAAAUGGCUGCUAUGGCUGGGGCUGGGCCAGGCCGAAGCCAGGAGCUUUAUCUGGGUCUCCCACAUAGGUGCAGGGGCCCAAGGACUUGGGCUAUCUUCCAGUGUUUUCCCAGGUGCAAUAACAAGGAGCUGGAUCAGGAGUGGAGCAGCUGGGACUCGAACCAUUGCCCAUGUGGGAUGCCGGCACUGCAGGUAGUGGCUUUACUCCCUGUGAA